CGUGAGAAUAAAGCGCGAACGUAAAUUUACUUCAGGCAUGAGUCGUAAAGUUACAUCAUGAGACCCCACGUAAAAAAAACACCGCGAGGUAAAUUUACCUCUUCUCUCUACUAUCUACUCUCGAAUCAGGAGGAAACCAACUCCAUGGAUCGUGGGAGGGCUCCGCCAUUUUCCACACCUCUCCUCCAGUCCACCAGCUCUACCCCUAAUUUGUCCAUCGUGCAGCCAUGACGGUUCCCUACAGACCAGUGGAGCGGUUCGCUAUAUCCUGUGGCCCGGAGCCGGCUCCGGUGGCUUUGCAGAAGGGAAGAUGUCGUCUAGCCGGCGGGGUCCAGCUGAAACUGAAGCGGCGGCGCCAAGUUGGGCCGCGAUCUCAGCCCAGGGCGGCGCUCGGCGCAUCGACGCACUCCACGAGCUCGAGCCAUUUUCAUGUCUCUCCUUCCCAUCCUUACCUCCAUGAUUGGAUCUGGAUUCAAAGAUUUCACCGGCUGCCGUUGAGUCGUCAUGGUCUAGGUAUGAUCGACCUCCUCUUCAAGUUUGGUCAAUGGCUCCUACUUCAUGCGCCCAUGAGCUCCAGCGCCGCCCCUUCCUCUCUUGAAUAUGGUCACCUGGGCACAUCCCCCCUGGUGACAUCCCUACCUAUUUUUCAACACUGAAGUUAUUUUGUUUUGACAAGAGUCAGUCAGAAUUUGUGUGUUAUGAGUUUGGCAUCUAAAUGGGGGUGGUAAGUUGUGACGGGACAGUGUUGUAAUGCGAGCAGAACGAAAUGACCAUGUUAUGAUAAAUAAAAAUUCUUAUGCUAAGGUCUUACAAUGUUAGAACAAGUCGAUGCAUUAUCUUUCUGAAAUCAGCAGCAAAAGUAUCAGUAGCUCAUUUUGUUGUGGGGAGCAGAGUUUAACAGUCAAUUACUUUUGUUUUUAGUGCUGCUUAGAAAUUUCCAUAACAUGUGUGAAGGCUAAUUUGAUUCUCAGUUCGUACAGUCACCUUGUUCUAUUUCAGUUCUGCAUCCUAAUCAGAUUUUGAGCUUGCUUGGUUUGUUCAAAAACCAGAUCAAAAAUUUUCAAGUGAAGAGAGAAAUUUAUUGACAUAGGAAAGUUCUCCACUAACACUCUUAAUUUUGAUACCUGCCAUGUAGGAAAGUUCUCCCCUAAAACUUUGAUUUCUCUGUAUUUCCUGUGUGUGUUAUGCAGUGGACAAGUGUGAAAAAGUUGUUGUAUAUAUGACAUGAAGAAGUUGAGGUAAUGUGUUGCAAACAUGAUGUUUUCCUAACAUCCAAUUAAUUUGGUUGCAGGACUCCACCACCACUACACAAUCACAUAUGGAGGCUACUAACUUAUUUGUAGAAUAAAGAGGCCAAUAUAUUUAAUCUUUUUAGGUAUACUUUGGAUUUAAGAAGAAGCUUAAUCAUUGUUAUUUUAUAUAUUUGACAGUUUUGACAUAAACUCUCUCACAUCUACUCAGUUGAUUUGAUUGGGAAGCUUAACGGUCUACGCGCUACUCCCUACCACUGUACAGCAGUAUUUUUGGCAGUUGCAGGGGUUCUACAGAUGCAGGGCCACCAAGGAAUGUGUUGCGAGGAAGCACGUGUGGAGUGGUGGUGCUGCAACACCGAGAUGCUCGUGUCACCGACUAGAACAAGGCAACAAAAAGAAUCAUAUGCAGUCACUCGACCUGUCGAUGCUUGCGCAAAUUCAGAAGCUUGACUGAAUCUGCCAAUGCUAGAAGAAGAUAGAAUAACUCUGAAUUUGUAUGCCAUAUAUGGAACAUGUCAUUCAGCCGAUUUUUGGUUAUUCAUCUGACAAAAUAUCUGGAUGCAAAUAAAUUUUUUAAUAAGGCCAAGAUUUCACUGCCAUA